rnacentral:tRNA from 2 species
GGAGAGGUGGCGGAAUGGUAGACGCGCUACUUUGAGGGGGUAGUGGGAGUUGUCCCGUGGGAGUUCGAGUCUCCUUCUCUUCA